rnacentral:rRNA from 1 species
ACGCUCGACACCUACGGGAGCAGCAGUGGGGAAUAUUGCACAAUGGGCGAAAGCCUGAUGCAGCAACGCCGCGUGAGCGAAGAAGGCCUUCGGUCGUAAAGCUCUGUCCUCAAGGAAGAUAAUGACGGUACUUGAGGAGGAAGCCCCGGCUAACUACGUGCCAGCAGCCGAGGUAAUCUGAGCGGGCUGGCAAGGC